UGCGCUUACUUUUCUACAUUGGUUAGAGGUAUAGGGGGAGGGUUGAGAUCUCACAAACAUGUUUAACCCCGCCGCAUUUUUGCGCCUGUCCCAAGUCAGGAGCCUCUGGCCUUUGUUAGUCUUGUAUUAUUUUAAUUUUAGUUUCUAGUGUACAAUUUGGAAAUUAGUAUGGCGUUCAUUAUCACUGGACUAGUAUAUAUUUGUUUAGGGGCCAGCUGAAGGACGCCUCCGGGUGCGGGAAUUUCUCGCUACAUUGAAGACCUGUUGGUGACACUCUGCUGUUGUUUUUUAUUUGGUCGGGUUGUUGUCUCUUUGACACAUUCCCCAUUUCC
rnacentral:lncRNA from 1 species